rnacentral:lncRNA from 1 species
GACAAAAAUCAUUCAUUUACCACUUCAUUUGCAAAUCGAUCACAAACACAGCUUCUACAACCAGAAAAAAGAAUUACAGAAACCAAUGUCGGCGAGCAGAAACUCAGUUCUCUCACGAUGACAAUGGUAGAAGGAUGUCCUAGCCAGGUAAAAACCUCCGCUUCAAACCUCACAUCGUUUACAUUGUUUCAUUCCAAUUCCAACGGAAUUCAGACAAAAGCGAGUCAGUUCCUUCACAUGAAUCUUGCACCUAACAAAAUCUUCAUUAUCUACGAUUGCUCUGCUGUUACCACUAUCGUUCGAUAUUCAGAGAGUGCAGCUUCACUUGCAGGCAUUUGAAAUAGAGAUGAAUGCCUCCCAAGAUGAACUUUUCUUUCGUCUUCUGAAAUAUCCAGCCUCACGGAGAUCACCAAACCACGAUCACGAAGAAAUCAGAAUAAAAGUUAAGGUCUAUCAGUGACAAUUCGAAGUGCAAUCGUGU